rnacentral:rRNA from 1 species
GCGAGUGAAGCGGCAACAGCUCAAAUUUGAAAGCUGGCUCCGGCCCGCAUUGUAAUUUGCAGAGGAUGCUUCUGGUGAGGUGCCUUCCGAGUUCCCUGGAACGGGACGCCAUAGAGGGUGAGAGCCCCGUAUGGAUGGACACCAAACCUGUGUGAAGCUCCUUCAACGAGUCGAGUAGUUUGGGAAUGCUGCUCUAAAUGGGAGGUAAAUCUCUUCUAAAGCUAAAUACCGGCCAGAGACCGAUAGCGCACAAGUAGAGUGAUCGAAAGAUGAAAAGCACCUUGAAAAGGGGGUUAAACAGUACGUGAAAUUGUUGAAAGGGAAGCGCUUGUGACCAGACUUGCGCCGGGCAGCUCAUCAGGGGUUCUCCCCUGUGCACUCUGCCCGGCUCAGGCCAGCAUCGGUUCUCGUGGGAGGAUAAGAACGGUAGGAACGUGGCCCCCUUCCGGGGGGGUGUUAUAGCCUACCGUACGAUACUCCCGUGGGGACCGAGGUUCGCGCUCCGCAAGGAUGCUGGC